GAUGAACGCUAGCGGCAGGCCUAAUACAUGCAAGUCGAACGGCAGCGGGUCCAGCACUGGAUGCCGGCGAGUGGCGCACGGGUGCGUAACACGUAUGCAAUCUACCUGUAACUUAGGGAUAGCCCGGAGAAAUUCGGAUUAAUACCUAAUGAUAACCGAGACUGGCAUCAGUUUUUGUUUAAAGAUUUAUUGGUUACAGAUGAGCAUGCGUCUGAUUAGCUAGUUGGUGAGGUAAUGGCUCACCAAGGCGAUGAUCAGUAGGGGACCUGAGAGGGCGAUCCCCCACACUGGUACUGAGAUACGGACCAGACUCCUACGGGAGGCAGCAGUAGGGAAUAUUGGGCAAUGGUCGAGAGACUGACCCAGCCAUGCCGCGUGCAGGAUGAAGGCCUUAUGGGUUGUAAACUGCUUUUGAUCGGGAACAAAGAGGCCAUGCGUGGCAAGAUGAGUGUACCGAUAGAAUAAGCACCGGCUAACUCCGUG
rnacentral:rRNA from 1 species